UGGGAGUGCAGAGGUUUUGAUUUCUUAGGUUUAGGUUCAACUCCUAUCUCUAA
rnacentral:tRNA from 1 species